CCUACGGGUGGCACCAGUGGGGAAUAUUGCACAAUGGGCGCAAGCAUGAUGCAGCCAUGCCGCGAGUAUGAAGAAGGCCUUCGGGUUGUAAAGUACUUUCAGCGGGGAGGAAGGCGAUAAGGUUAAUAACCUUGUCGACUGACGUUACCCGCAGAAGAAGCACCGGCUAACUCCGUGCCAGCAACCGCGGUAAUACGGAGGGUGCAAGCGUUAAUCGGAAUUACUGGGCGUAAAGCGCACGCAGGCGGUCUGUCAAGUCGGACGUGAAAUCCCCGGGCUCAACCUGGGAACUGCAUUCGAAACUGGCAGGCUAGAGUCUUGUAGAGGGGGGUAGAAUUCCAGGUGUAGCGGUGAAAUGCGUAGAGAUCUGGAGGAAUACCGGUGGCGAAGGCGGCCCCCUGGACAAAGACUGACGCUCAGGUGCGAAAGCGUGGGGAGCAAACAGGAUUAGAUACCCCAGUAGUC
rnacentral:rRNA from 1 species